AACGAACGCUGGCGGCAGGCCUAACACAUGCAAGUCGAGCGAGGACUUCGGUUCUAGCGGCGGACGGGUGAGUAACGCGUGGGAAUGUGCCCUUCUCUACGGAAUAGCCCUGGGAAACAGGGAGUAAUACCGUAUACGCUCUAAUGGGGAAAGAUUUAUCGGAGAAGGAUCAGCCCGCGUUGGAUUAGGUAGUUGGUGGGGUAAUGGCCUACCAAGCCGACGAUCCAUAGCUGGUUUGAGAGGAUGAUCAGCCACACUGGGACUGGGACACGGCCCAGACUCCUACGGGAGGCAGCAGUGGGGAAUCUUAGACAAUGGGGGCAACCCUGAUCUAGCCAUGCCGCGUGAGUGAUGAAGGCCUUAGGGUUGUAAAGCUCUUUCAGCUGGGAAGAUAAUGACGGUACCAGCAGAAGAAGCCCCGGCUAACUCCGUG
rnacentral:rRNA from 1 species